CCCAGAGAAAUUUGGAUUAAUACCUCAUAGUAUAGUACUUUGGCAUCAAGGAACUAUUAAAGUCACAACGGCAAAAGAUGAGCAUGCGUCCCAUUAGCUAGUUGGUAAGGUAACGGCUUACCAAGGCUACGAUGGGUAGGGGUUCUGAGAGGGAGAUCCCCCCACACUGGUACUGAGACACGGACCAGACUCCUACGGGAGGCAGCAGUGAGGAAUAUUGGACAAUGGGCGCAAGCCUGAUCCAGCCAUGCCGCGUGCAGGAUGACGGUCCUAUGGAUUGUAAACUGCUUUUAUACAGGAAGAAACACUCCGACGUGUCGGAGCUUGACGGUACUGUAAGAAUAAGGAUCGGCUAACUCCGUG
rnacentral:rRNA from 1 species